rnacentral:rRNA from 1 species
UGGGGAAUAUUGGACAAUGGGCGAAAGCCUGAUCCAGCCAUGCCGCGUGUGUGAAGAAGGCCUUUUGGUUAUAAAGCACUUUAAGUGGGGAGGAAAAGCUUAUGGUUAAUACCCAUAAGCCCUGACGUUACCCACAGAAUAAGCACCGGCUAACUCUGUGCCAGCAGCCGCGGUAAUACAGAGGGUGCAAGCGUUAAUCGGAAUUACUGGGCGUAAAGCGCGCGUAGGUGGUUAUUUAAGUCAGAUGUGAAAGCCCCGGGCUUAACCUGGGAACUGCAUCUGAUACUGGAUAACUAGAGUAGGUGAGAGGGGAGUAGAAUUCCAGGUGUAGCGGUGAAAUGCGUAGAGAUCUGGAGGAAUACCGAUGGCGAAGGCAGCUCCCUGGCAUCAUACUGACACUGAGGUGCGAAAGCGUGGGUAGCAAACAGGAUUAGAUACCCUGGUAGUCCACGCCGUAAACGAUGUCUACCAGUCGUUGGGUCUUUUAAAGACUUAGUGACGCAGUUAACGCAAUAAGUAGACCGCCUGGGGAGUACGGCCGCAAGGUUA